rnacentral:rRNA from 1 species
CCCUUAGAUGUUCUGGGCCGCACGCGCGCUACACUGACGAAUGCAACGAGCUUAUAACCUUGGCCGAAAGGUCUGGGUAAUCUCCAAAUUUCGUCGUGAUGGGGAUAGAUUAUUGCAAUUAUUAAUCUUCAACGAGGAAUGCCUAGUAAGCGCAAGUCAUUAGCUUGCGUUGAUUACGUCCCUGCCCUUUGUACACACCGCCCGUCGCUCCUACCGAUUGAAUGGUCCGGUGAAGCGUUCGGACCGUGGCCUUUGGACGGUUCGCCGUCUGUUGGCUGCGGGAAGUUCGUUAAACCUUAUCAUUUAGAGGAAGGAGAAGUCGUAACA